rnacentral:lncRNA from 1 species
AAUCAAAAAGUGAAGUUAGGAAUUUGACUUAAAAAGCUACAUUUUAUUUGAAAACAUUGAUAUAUUCCAAUCUAGAAUAAAAGAGAGAGAGUUGUUAGAAGUUAGUGUUAAAAAUUGGAGUUUGUAAGUGAGUUGCUUUUUAAUGGAGGUUUUUAUUUUUGCCAUAUCUUGAGUUUUUGGAUGAAUUUUUGGCUAAACAUUUUCACAAAUGUAGAUGACUAUAUUCAAAAUUUGUACAUAAAAAAUUCUUAAUAUUUGAGUUUUGGAUUUUUGAGAUAUGAAGGAAUUAGUACAUAGGUAUCUAAGAAUUGAUAU